CAGGAUUCCGUCGCUUCGUCAUCGACAGUUGCUCACACCUUCAGUAGUCACCAUCAUUCUAUUCUUUCUCAGGUGAAUUUGUCGAUUGACCCCAUAAAUCUGUUGUCCACAAUGAUAAGCCAACACAAAUACCAAGAGGCUUUCACUACAGCCUUACAAAUGCGUGAUGUGUCAAUUGUGAAUUGGAUUUGCUCCCAGGUCUUGACUAUGGAUCCUCUCCCUUUGAGUCAAGAAGUAUUGCUUCAAUUGUUGUGGUUUUUACCAUAUUGUAUCAAUACCAACCCAGCCGUAAUAAUUGCUUGGAUGACACACGUUUUUAAUUCCAUAAUCCCAACUGAUCCGGCAAUUGAAAUGCAUGUGCGGCCCAUCUUCAAUCAAGUUUAUGCCGCACUCAACCAUAUAAGUGUCCUGCCCACAAUUACUGAU